rnacentral:lncRNA from 1 species
CCACAGGUGAGUGACUCAAACCUUUCUCAAGUGGCCACAUUUUUAAAAAAUUAUUUUAACCUUAACAUUUCAGGUCAUAUGCAAAUUCAAAAUAACUGAAACAAAACUUUUAAGAGAUAAUACUUACCUUGACAGUGUGUGGUGAACUCCUACAUUCUUUUCUGUUUAUCCUAUUUCUGUCUUUAAAGCAUGGCCGAGAGCCACCAAAUCAAGCUUUAAGGGUCCUGUAAAGGGUCUCAUUCCUCAGUUGAAACGUGGCUGUCUUCACCUGCCCAUGAGGAGUUCGCAGGAAGGCAGGGUCCAAAGAAUGAGUACCUGGUCACAGGGAAAGAGCUUGGGGCCAGGGUAUGGAGGGACAUGGGGCACUGUCCCAGGCAGUCAUGGCUGUGACAUCACAAACAGCACCUGCCACCACAACAGAGUAAGGAGGUCAGCCUGACUUGAAGGACCGUGGCACUUCAGUAAUGCCUGGCUUAGCCCUACCUUUGCCUAAGAGCUAAAGUCCUGGGUGAGAAAAUCACUCUCAUUCAUCAUUUAGUCAUUGAAAAUACAUGGUAUUUGAGCACCUACUACAUGUCAGAAAGUAGAAGCUAACAGGUCACUGUCACAUGAGGCUUCAGAUCUGGACUGAGUCCCACCAGGGCCUCUGGCAAAGGAGCACAGAGCAGAAAGCAAUUACAGGAAGCAGGCAGAAUGUUAGGAGAGUGGCAAGAUGUGGCACCUUGCAGAAUCACCAAGGAGGAGGAUUAAGGAAAAUCAUCCAAAGCAAUUAUCCCAAAGACCAGUGGGGACUAGGUAAAGCUCCUGUAAGUUCUCAAGACACAUCCUAAUGACCUCUGCCAGGAAGACUAAAGGGAUGUUUUGCCUGAAUAAUUUGAUAGAAUAAAGACUACUGCUCAGAAAAAUC